UAUGAUAUGCAUCCUGUGGGACUCCGUGAUCUCAGUGAGAAAGGAACCUUAACAGUCCUGGUGUGUCAGUGUAGGAUAUGGGAGAUGACACCUUCUGAGCUACCUUAAAGAGAGUAAAGGGCAGUUCUGGCAAUCUAGGACAAGGACAGAGGCUUGAGAGAGCAUCUGAGUCGCUAGAUGUGGUCACAGGAUGCACACACUGGUCAGGGGCAGGGGGCGGGUGGGGGAGAUGAUGGAAGCAGAUGAGGGCAGGAGAGUAGGAGGUUAAAUCACAAAGAGCCUUGAAUCUAGAAUGCCAUGGCCUGAAUGAAAGACAUCAACAACUGUGAGGCUGCCACUAAAAUUCUGAGUAGGUAAAAUCUUAAUGGAAAAGAUAGAGAAGCCAUCAAAAGAUCUGUCUUAACCUGAAAGAUAUAUGUAAAUAUAGGAAUUAAAUACAGUGACUAAAAGACAGUUCCAAGACUCAGAACUAAGCCUAUAAUUUUGACAUUACAUGCAACUGAAAGAUGCCCAGUGGCCCUCAGUCCUGAGAUAAAUUCAGAAAAACACAACUGAUUCAGGCAAAUUGAGAAAGGAUACUUCAGAAAAAGUCAAGAACCAGAAGCAGAGGGAAAGAGCUGGGGAAGAGAACCCAAAACAGAGGUGGUGGAAGAUGCCUUCCUAUGAUGAAUACAUCAAACUUUAAGUAUUUAGCAAUUUGUAUGAUGGAAAGGGACACAUACUGAAAUCUUAAUCUCAAAUAUAUCAAACUACCUUAGCCAAUUUCUUUUUCCACCUUAAACUUCAUUCCAGGAGCAUUUUUCAAAUAUGCUGCAUAUCAGAGUGAACGCAAGCUAUCUGACUGCAAAUUUGCCUCCAUAUUAAAACACUUACUCUGUUGAA